AGGGAGAGAGUCGGUGCCUGGGGCUUGGUGGCUGCCUGGAGUUAAACUGUAAUUGCAGCUUGAAGUACAUAACACUUGACUCAAGGCUAUCUUCUAGUUGAAAAAAACAGAAAUAGCAUAGAAGGAAUGUUUUUUUCCAAUGAGAGGAUAAAGCUCAGUAAUAGAUACAACUGCUUCACUUUCAGUCUCACCAUAACACUCCUGCUCAGCUAAACUGGUGAGCUCUAGUCAGAGACCAGUCUUUUCCCUCAGCAUCAGGAGUUGACACCAGGAUUUGAAAGAACAGUGGAACCUCAUACACUAACCAAUCCAAGUACCAUGGCACACUCUGCCCUAGGCUAAGCUGACCUACCAACUCAUAUGCAAUUCCUCAGUAUACUUUUUCUCAUUUGUUCAAAAUGUUUUGCUCUAUGCCCAACUAGUCCAUGUUUCUUACCAAAAUGGGUACAACACAUCAUCUACUUUUUACUUUUAAUACCUAAUUUCUGAUAAGAGGUGUCUUCUAGCUACAGCAUCCUUUGUUACUGGAUUACCAAGAACUGGAUCAGACUGGGCACUACAGGCAUGCCAGAAGUUUGCAGAGCAGCAGCACUGGGAUUCACCAGGGCACGUGCAACCAGGUCGAGCUGUUCUCCCCACCUUUAAUACACUUGGACGGCCUUCUCUGACCUACUGCUUCUGCAUUCAAACAAGCUGUAGAUUUAGUGUUUAUGCAGCAGCUUCGUUGUCUUGCUGUCUCAACCCUCAGCACUAACACGCAGAACUCAGGAGCUGCAAGAUGCUACAAUGAAGGAGGUAAAUACCACAGAACUUCCAGGUGUUAACAGCUUCUGACUAAGCUGAAAGACAGACUCGAAGAAAAGCCAUAAAGAAAUAUUUUUCUCAAGUUCUUUUUUGUUUUUUUAGUAGUGGAAGUUCUAUAUAAAACAACCUACAAAAAAGCUCUAAAAUAGCAAGCCCCAACUCUACAGAAUAAAUAGAUUGUAUCUCCAAGCACAAAAAGCACAAGACAUAGGUACUUCUGAAGCCAUACUCACUUUCUGUGUAGCACUCCUGCACAUACAGUAAGCCUUUAAAAAUACUUACAUUUUCCCAAAAGUUUCACACCAUUGUAUGCCAGCCAGCUGAAUUCUUGUGUAGCUUUCUGCUCACCAGCUCCCACACUGCUACUAAAGAACAGGGAACAGCAGAUCUUGUCAUGAAACAAGCAACUUCCAGGUGGUCCUGAUCAAGUGGGCAGCCUCAUCCAAACAAACUUGGAAAAUAUCAGCUCACCUGGCUGCUACCCAUAGCAAUUCCAUUCUUAAAGAGGACCUGGCUCACACUUGAGAGCUUUGCUGAUGUGAUCAGGAGGUUAAGGAAGGCUACUAGAGCAAAACAAAAAAUGUUGCCUUGUAAACUGGCUCACGUUACACCAGAGAUCCACUUGUGGAUGCCUCUUCUUGUUACAGGAGCCCGAACAGCAAAAUAAUUCUUGUCAACCAUUGCAUCCCCUGCUGUGUGGGUGGGGUGGGAGCAAAGCUGACAAGCUCUUUAAAGAAAAAUGUCUUGGAGCUGUAUCCUAUGUGUCCCUAAGGGUGUGUAAGCUUGCUGACAGGCUUAAAUUCACUUUAACGUAACAGACAGCAUAAAGAGAAAUAUUUUAGGGAUCUGCAAACCUAAAAAGGUCAGUAGUCCACUUAAAGAUGUUAAUUCUUAGUGCUGAAGACUUCCACGACAGCUUAUUCAGCGGCGAGACAUUGUAAUAAGGCCCCCACUCUGGCUUUGGCAUCUUAAAUUAAAACAAAGUAGUAGCAUUCAAAAUGGUGAUUAUGGCUUCAGAUUAAUAUAAUUUUUUGGUACAUAUGUAAACCCAUCCACAGUCACAGCAGAAAGGCUACAGUGCUUUUUCACACUGUUACCAGUAGACACACUAACAUUUGUCUGUGUAAUAAAGCACAACCACCUCAUUUUCCCUCUAGUAUGACUUUAAUAGUUAAAAAUCAAAUCUGUGCAGAGUGUACUUUAUUUGUUCACAUUACAUAUUUGUGGUUAAAAACCACUUAAUCUGACAGUUUAAAAGCAUUCUUUUAAAACAGAAGAAUUAAACAUAGCUUGUGCUAAAAAAAAUCUGCAAGUUACGUGGAUGUAGUAUUAUACAGGAGUAUAAAAAUCAACAGUACUCUACAGAAAAUAUUCUCAAAACAGCAAAUAAAGACUAGGCAUGUAGGCAUGAUCCUGAAACAAACAAAUAUGAAUUAAAAAACAGCUAACAAAAUCUAAAAAAAAAUCCCAAAUACCUGUAUAAAAAAAGCAAGGAUUCAAAGUGCAGGUGCUCCAGUUUUCAUUUUAACAUAUUAUUCAGUAAGUCAAUACAGGAUACUAUUCAUUUCAUAUAAAGUGACAGUGUUCUCAGUAAGAUUUAAACAUUCACUUACAUUAUCUUGCAAAUUUUUUUUUCAUUACUGCUGCUUUACACUGUAGUAAAUAAAGACUUAUGCAAUACAGGCUUUUAUUUUCUUAAUCUAACAAGGAUAUAAUAGGUUGGUGGUAAAGGUUAGUUUUAAGAACUAAGCUAUAUUUGCUGUAGAUCCAGCCUUAGAAGCAGAUAUAUAUACUUGUUUUUCCUAAGCUUUUAAAAACAGACUUCAAAUUUUGUAAAGAGACUCUACCAAUCUGUUCUGAGGCCUGCAUACGCUGUCUUUGGAGAACACUAGCAAAGAUUCCAAGUCCACUGGUUAGGAAUACAGCCCUGGGCAGGAUCAUGCUGGAGAUCUUCCUUUGGUGGCCCCAGCUGGAAAAAACGCUUUCUCUCUGCUGAACCCAAGGAAAGGCAAACGGGCAGAAACCGUCAGAUGUAUCCACACUUGCCUGGUGUGGCAGCUAGGCUGGGACGGAUUUCACACUUUCACUUGAGCAUACCAGUCUCAGGCAGAGGAAGUUAGGAGCCAGGCAGGUGCCACUGAAGUGGUCUUUCAUGUAUUCAGAAAAGUAAAAUCAAAGCAUACGUUCAAAGCCUCUUUGGAAAAA